AUUACAUAUCGAAUAUCAAAAUUUACAAACAAAUUAUAUUCAUCUAUUAUUGAGAUUAAAGAUACGGGUAUUCCAGUAAAUACUCAAGCUACGCAAGAUCCACCACUUGAUGAUUACUAUCAAUUAAUAAUAGAAAGUUCACCAAAAGAUCGUUAUUCAGAAGAAAGUCAUGCGGAAUCAUGCCCAUGUUGCAAAUAUUAUAAAAAAUAUUUACAUACUUUUGAAGAAAUCAGAGAUGAAAAUGAAUUUCAAACUAAAGGAAGUGAUUCAAAAUCAUUUCCUCAUUUAUCUUUAAGCACAUCCGAGAAAAAAGUCACUGAAGUUAAAGAUGAGAAACUAAUAGAAGGUAUAACAGCUCAAAAGUUUGAUGAUUCCUCCAUAUUAUUACCACAAAGAGAUAUUCCAGAAGAUAAUAUUGCUCUAACAAAAUUAUUUGAUAAAAAUGGGGUUGGAAGAAUAGAAUCUUGCAAGUUUAUUCAAGAAAAUAAGAAUACGAACGAAUUGCCUAGACUGUCACAAGUAACAGACAGUAACAAUGAAGUUGUUGAAAUGUUGAAAUCUAAAGAUGAGAAAGAAAAAGAAGCCAAUGAAUGUUUUAAAACAUGCACAUCCAUAAAUCAAGAUAAACUUAAAUCAAAUUAUAAUUUCCCUGAAAAACAAAUGGCACAAAUUUCAAAGAUAAAUCUGGAAAACGUAAUCGAAGAAGAUGCUGUUAUCUCACAAAACAAAGAAGCUGAAAUGUUUACUAAUAAACCUACGAGUAAUUUACUGGAUAAUACUGAAAAUACACUAGAGAAAAAAAAACAAUCAAAUAAGUCUCUGAGAAAACCGUCUUCUGUAAAUCAAGAUAACGCACCCAAAAAACAUGCUACAGUCUCCAGUAAAAUUGACGUACGUAUGCUUUUAGAUAACGAAACUCAAUUGAAAUUUAAAUUCACGCAAAAGCCUUCUGUAAAAAGAUUUGUUAAUGAGAAUUCGCAGAGAGUUUCUUCGCUGAGAAGAAUAAGAAAUGUGUUUAGCUACGAAAAUAUUAAAUUACAAGUCAAAAAAUCGUUUCAAGCUACUUCAAGUGCUUUUUCAGCAUUUUUUAAAUGUGUCAAUUUUAAAUCAGCUUUUAACACAAGACGUUCCAAAGAUAAUUACAUAGAAAAAGGAGAAAAACCAGCAAACACUGAUACUUAUGACAAUUCAGUUAAGGAAUUAGACAGUUCAGAUAUACGCAACUUUGAAAUCAGCGAGGAAGAAAUGUUUUCAUUGCAAUACACCAGUGAUCUGAUAAAUAUAGCAAACAGUUCCGAUGCAAACACAAAUUAAUUAUAUAACCUAAAUUUUCUUAGAAACUAUCAGUAAAAACUAAG